CCCGAGCCCGCGGCGCCACUCCCCGCGUGACCAGGCCGCGGACCGCGAUAGGAGCGGGCCGGCCGGGUGGGGCGGGGUCUCGCCGCCACCGCCCCUGGGCCCCGAGGCUUCCCCUGGUUUCCCGGCCGGCGAGUAGGCGGCAGCGGGAGCUGCUACCCGCCGGGCCCCGAGUGAGUGGACGCUGUGCCCCCGGCCAGCGCGUGGCCGCCGCCGCGCCGAGGCCGUGGAGGAAGCGCCGAGGCUCUCGGGGCUUCUGUUCCGUCACCGCGGACGCCUCCCCCUCCCUCGGGGACCCGCCUGGCUGACGAACUGCCCCGCACCUGCCCACCGGGCGAGGCGGGCGGGUGGGGGAGGCCCCGAGAGGGCCAGGUAGGAAAAGGCUCCGGGUCUAGACCCCCGACCAGCAGGGUGGGGUGAGCCCCUGGGGCAGGGGCGUGGCCCGGCGGGAACAGGGCGGUGAGCGUCGCUCCCGGCGAAGGAAGGAGAGGGCGGGUGGGCUUGAGGCCAUCUGCCCGCCGGACUUAUCUAUGAAGCACUCUCGCUUCCAAGUGGGAGGCUUAAGGAAAUGGUCUUCCUGCCGGCCAGAGAUAGCUUUCCCACGUCCUGCCAACCGCCGAAAUUUCUCCAGAGGAGCAUCGAUCCAGUAGUUCCUCUCUCAAGCCACACAUCGAGGUGCAAUCUCACGGCUGCAGACUUUCCGUGGUACUGCGGUACCGUCUAGAUCUAGGCUUUGGGUCAAGAUGCUGCCCCGUCUUGGUGACUGUUUCGUUGUUGUUGUUGACAGCGUCGUCCUUGCUUCAAAGUUCUCGGGCCAAAUGCCCUGAACUUGGGUGGGCGGAAUCAAAUCAUUUUCACUCAGCACCAGUCACAUGGCACCAAUACAGUAACUUCAGUAUUACCGGCUUCUCUUCUCUUGGGACUUGCCGGAGUUUUACUUUGGUCUGUAUCUUCCUCAGCUUACAAAUGUGGGGGGAAAGACAAUUCAUUUAUGUCUACAGCAAUUGAAAGGUACUGUGGGUCUGUUCAAAUCACCAUCAUGCAAAAUGCUAACCAAAGCCCCAUAAGAGUACUUUGGAACAGCUGGGCUCAGCCUCCCUGGGCCAGUUUCCUCAUUUGUGAAAUGAAGAAGCUGAAUUACAAGUUCUCUUAGGUUCUUCCAGCUCAAAAUUCUUAAGAUUCUAUGAGUUUUAUAAGAUCAGGAGACUUGGAUGCAGAUGGUAAACUGAAUUGCCACCCUACGAAGUGGCAAGUCUCAAAUUAGGAGCCUGGACUCCUGAUUCACGUUGCAGGGGACAGGUGAAGCAGAAACAGAGCAGGAACCAGGAGAAAAUGA